rfam:Camelus ferus unplaced genomic scaffold scaffold1121, whole genome shotgun sequence.
GAGGGUAUAGCUCAAGUGCUAGAGUGCAUGCUUAGCAUGUUCAAGGUCCUGGGUUCUAUUCCCAGUACCUCCU